GCCUUUUUUUUUUUUUUCUAAACUCUUUAUUUUACGAUAGGGGUUCACUAAGUUGCUAAGUUGCUCAAGCUGGGCUUAAACUAGUGAUCCUCCAGCCUCAACCCCUCAAGUAGCUGGUUUACAGGUCUAUGCCACUAUGUCCAGUCCAGCACAGGUACUGUUAUCCAUAUUUUACAGUUAAGCUAACUGAGCCCAGGUGCCAUGGCCAGGCAGUGGUGCAGAUGUUGGUGCUGCUGGAGGUGCUGAGGUGCAGGUGUGUGGGGGUCUUUGCUGCCUGAGCAGGGGUGGACCAUGUGGCAUAGAAAGCCUCCAAAAUCAGGCUCAGACCAUCCCCCUGGGCUCUGUCCUAGCCUCACGGUACUUAACCAAACUGUCACAUACCUAAGCGAAGUUGGGGUGCCCUGGGAGACCCCAACCUGAGCCUUAGUUUCCUUGUAAAAUGGAAAUGAUGAUGUCUCUGCUCUGCUUAUAUUUAGGAGGAUGGUUCUGAGGUUAAGUCAGUUCUGUGGGUGACUGUUAUGCCAUUAUUGUUAAUAUUAAAGGGCGGCAACCUGGGGUGUCACACAAGCCCUGGGAAGGGGUGGCCAGGGGAGCCACUGGCCAGGAAAACAUGGCUCACAGCAGUCAGGGCCUCGCCAGUGUAAUGCACAGACUGAUCUGAUCUCCAAGGGCUGACUGCUGAGUCCUCCACGGCAGAUAAAAGACAGAAGUCACACCCUUGGGAGGACCCAUGGGGUCCAUCAGGGCAGGAGCUGACGCCUCUCUACCCUCAUGGAGAGGAAGCUGUUGCUGCAAUAACUCUGGUGACAACUCAAGCUCACAAACUGCUCCCUUCCCUCUUUCCUUAGGAGGUCCCCAGGGAGCACCUUCCGAAAGACCACUUGCACCCAGCAUGUGCUUCUUGGGCGAUGAUGAGCCCUUGGAAUGCUCCAAAUACACAUGAGGCCCAAAGGAGGUAAAGUAAAUAAACAUCAGAACUGGAGGAAUUCUGUAAAAGGAAGGAAAACUCCUGGUGACAAGGGACCUGGGGUUCUGCUGUCAGUGGCCACUCCUACUUUGACACUGGCUAGAGUGGUGAUUUUUCAGAGCACCUGCUCACCCCACUUCUCAGGUGAGGACAUGGUAAAUCCAGAAGCUUGUUAAAACACAUGUAAACCAAAACCAGUCCACAAGUCUUUGGGUGAAAGUUACUAUAUAACUGUGAAGUAUUAAGAACACCAUAUUUCAGUCAUCAUAUGAACAGAGUACUUGCUCCCAGAAAAAAUAUCCUUGAGAUGAAUAAAAAUACAGAUGAUGGACAGAUAAUAUCUUU
rnacentral:lncRNA from 1 species